rnacentral:lncRNA from 1 species
CAAUGACUCACCAAAGCCUCUGGUAGCCACCACAGGACGCCCAGAGCACGUUUUAAAGCUGAACACCAAACUGCGGACUUCGGGAACCCAAACACACUUGGAGGUCAUGUUCAAUAUGAAUACCUCACAGAGAAGGAAAUUUACACACGAGAAGUACAUCUGCAGAAAGCCAGCUGGCAUGUCAACCAUUCAAAAACUCAGCGUGUUCGGGAUAAAGAAGACUCAGGAAGACAAGUAUGAAGCAUAAUCUGUGACAUUCCAUGCGGCAGACAUUAGACACAUACAAGAGAGUUGUUGGAAAGCGGAAUUUAUCUUCAUAUAAACAACACUGAGCUAAAUCUCAAUAUUUCAGAUCUCUAGAACUAUCCAUCAGUGAAAUGGAUUGCAAAUAGAAAGAGUAAUACCAUGUCACUUAAGAAUACAAUCAUGGACGAGGCUGCCACCUGCUGUUGGGGGCCACUGCAGAAGAAAUUCCAGAACACUGGACUGGAGAGCACCUCACUUUCCUUACAGCUCUAAGUUUCUGACUCAGUGACCUGAUUCAGUACCAUAUACACAAAGACCCACUUACACAAAUGACUGUUCUUCACACUAGGCCCAU